UACGUAGGGUGCAAGCGUUUAAUCGGAAUACUGGGCGUAAAGCGUGCGCAGGCGGUGAGCUGUGUCCGAUGUGAAAGCCCCGGGCUUAACCUGGGAAUGGCAUUGGAAACUGGCUCGCUGGAGUGUGGCAGAGGGGGGUGGAAUUCCGCGUGUAGCAGUGAAAUGCGUAGAGAUGCGGAGGAACACCGAUGGCGAAGGCAGCCCCCCUGGGCUAACACUGACGCUCAGGCACGAAAGCGUGGGGGAGCAAACAGG
rnacentral:rRNA from 1 species